GAAAAACACCCCCAUUCUCGCACGUAUUCACUCUGGGGUCUUGAUAUACCUUUUAUCUAGAGCUGUAUUGGUUUUCCGUGGUGGGGUCCCUUAAAAAAUGCCAUUGGGUAGUCCCAACUUCCCAUUUCCCCUGGGGUUGUCCCUUUCGGGGGCGACGCGGGGUGAACCAUGAAGUAAUCUCUGCGUCCCACUCCACCCACAUUAGGUUGUGGUCGUGGAUUGGUCCGCAGGGCAUUCGCUUGAGCUCUCGGAUGCGGUGCAUUAUAAGCGGGCACGAGGACUCACGUCCUCUAUUUGCCCGAAAUAAAGCUUUCGUCGCUUAGUUGCGAACGAUUGCGAUCCCCGUUACGAGCCCUCGGGCGAGUUAGCGGGGUUGUUUCCUUGAGGAA
rnacentral:misc_RNA from 1 species